rnacentral:lncRNA from 1 species
UUUUUCAGGUAUUAGAAUGCACUUGCUUUAAGGACUGAAGAAAACCUGCCACAUGCAUUCUGAGACUGCUCUCUGCAGAAAAUUGAGAAAUGGCUGGCAAUCCAGGCAAGUUCAUCUGAGGAAUUAUUAACUCACAUCUCAAUUAGUCACUCGUUAACAAGCUGUCCUCUCCUCUCAGCACAAUUAACAGAAAUCAUUAGUUUCUAUCAGCUGUGACCAUAUUUCCCAGCAUAUGUGGAAGAUACAUAAUUAGUUAAAAGGAAACUCAGCAAUAUGGAAAUCAGUUUUGUGGCUGAUCAAGUGAAGAUAUUUUAUUGCCUGGAAUAUGUGAAAAAGACAUCACCCAACAUUGUGUUUCUACUGAUGCAUGAUAGAGAACUAGUCCCAUAGACUGAUGGAUGCUGGCGCAAUGGAGUGAAAGUUGUUCAUUUUGAUGGACUUUUUCCCAACCACUAUUUUUCUGACCCUUACUUCAAGCUCAUCAACUGCAGACCUCUGCACAGUGCCAUGAGUCCAUACACUCAAGCCAUGCAUAAGAAUUUGCAAGAAGAGAAGAAAUGUCCACGGAUGGACAAUGGCUUUAUGUGGCCAGUGGUAAUGACAUUUCAACAGCCAACCAGAAUAGAGAUCAUUCACAAAGAAAAAACACUAUAAAUUUCCCCAAAGCCCUGAGGACCUCAUCCAGCUGGCUAUCAAGAGAAACCCACUACAAAGUUGAAUUUAAUGGAAUGGCAACUUUUGCUGUUACAAUUUUUCAUUACAAGAGACUGAUUGAAUCUCCAGUUGUUAGAACAUUUACUUCUUAUGAGGAAGACAGAAGUUCAAAUUCCUGCUUUGAAUCAAAUAAGGCAGGAAGAUAGUCUUGUCAAUGCAGAGAAAUGAAUCACAGAAUCACAGAAUGACCCGGGUUGGAAGGGACCCCAAGGAUCAUGAAGCUCCAGCCCCCCUGCCUGGAAGGGCCACCAAACUUCCAUGUUUACUAAUGAAAUAAAUGAAAUAAAUGACAAAAUUUCCUUUCA